CUCCCACCAGCCCCCAGUGGAGCUGCACCAGCAUCCACAACAACAGAGGGGUCCCCCCACCCUGCCGCCCCGCCUCUGGCUGUGCAACUACCUGGUUCCACACUACAGAGGCACAGGGGGACAUAAAGGCCAGUGUCCUGAGCUGCAGAAGUGAACAACAGAGAGAGGGCGUCUCUCAGGCUCCUUGAUGAAAACUGAAGCCCACUAGAAAAAUGAAGAGAAUCUCUGCAAUAAAGGCACACCAAACCACCGUACUUGUACUGGGGAUCGAACUCAGGACCUUGCACUUGCCAGACAGACAUUGGCACCACUGAGCUGAAUCCCUGGCCCAGUUGAUUUGAUGAUGAUUAGUGAAAUUUCUGCAAAUGUGUACUGGCCAUUUUCAGGCUUAUGGAAGAGUUUGGAGGCUGGUGGCAGGACGUGCCUAGUCCUCAGCCUUGAGAAGUGUUACAAACCUCUGCCAUGUCUGCUGUCCUGUGGCCGACAGUCCCUGCUCUGCGGCUUCAGAGAGCAGCCGCGGUGGCAGUGGCCAGAUCCGGACCCGCUCGGCUCAUAGCCCUCACUUAAGGUGGGCCAUAAUAAAGAAGCACACUACAGUUCACGUUUCCAGGAGCCCAGGCAUUCCAUGGUGUUUUUUUUCGGGGAAGUACUGGUGAUGAGGAAAGGAUGGGAGAGGAAGAAGACACUGUAUAUCCCCAAGUUUGCCGAACUCUACAGGCACCUUUACAAAGCAGACAGACCCAUCCCUCAGCAGCUGUGAGUGUUAGCUUCUAACUUCAGCUGCUUCCUUUUGUGGAGAACUGCACUAUGUAGAAAAACUUCCAUGCCUGCAAGAUCACCAUAUAACACCUCCACCUCAUGUAAAACCCUGAUUCCUGUAGCCAAUGACUGACUGAUGAUCAAGAUACAAGGUAAGGGCACCUGGCUUCAAGAGUGAUCAAUAUUUUGGUGCAAACCCUACUUCAGAGCAACUCCUGGAAUAAUGUUAAAGCUGGUUUCCAGCUGUCUUAGUUUUAGCCCUGCCCUGUUCUGCGUCUCUCACUCCUCUGAACCAAGAACUAUGCCCCACCCCCCCAAUGGGUCUGCUUUUAAAGAACCCUCUCUAAUGCUUAUUCUCAUUUCAUGUUUAUCAGAGGUCUAUGUAAAGAGGGCUUUCUGUACACCCUCAUUACAGGCAGAGCAGUCAUGUCCAUCUCUGGGGAUGUCAGGAGUCACUUAAGGUACAACCGGGUAAGGCCCUCAAAUAAAAGUUGGACAUAUGUCCUAAGCUAAAUUAAAAUGAGGCCCAGCUUAUUCCUAACAUAGCCUGUCUGGCUGAUGCUAACAUACCACAUUCUGUCAAAUUAGAAAUGAAGAUGUAUAUGUUAAUGCUUUAUUGUAAUUCUUCUCACUAUGAAUAUGAACAAUUCUUAUGAUUAUUAGAAAGUUACAUAGUGUUUGUUAAAAAUUUGGUUGGAUUACAAUUAUUUUGUGUGAUAGUUGAUCGAUUGUGCCAACUUGAGUAAAUGAUGUUCAACUAACUUGGCUAAGCAUCAUUUUGGGUAUAGAAGAUCCACCCCAGGGAGAAUUAUCACCAGAAUAGUAUAAAAGGGAAACAAAGAAGGAAGGAUUGCUUCUAUCUUCUUUAGAGAAGCUCUAGUCUUUCAGAGAAGCAUCCAGAUGAUGUCAGUCAUCUUGACAUCAUCUCCUGGCUUCCAGCACUGACUCUUCAGUUUCCAGCACCAACCUUUCAGCUUUCUGGUGUAGACUGUUCAGCCUUCCAUCGAAGACCCUUUGGCCUCCUGAUACAGGCUCCCAUGGGACACAAUACUGAGCUUCAGGCUUUCAAUUGGGAUCCUUCAGAUCCCCAAUGUGCAGACAGCCCUUUUGCACUCUUCCACACCUGACUCUGUGGGUGGCCAUUGUAAGCCAAUAUUGUAAAUUCUUAUAUAUUUAUAUAUCUUGUAUUAUAUGUGAUUCUCUAGUAACACUGACUGAUAUAUUUUGUUAUAGUAUUCUUGCUACAGCAAGAAUUAUUACAAUAGCUUGAGUUUUAAUGGUUGUUUUACUUCUGUUAACUGUAAGCUCUUUGUUAUUGAAAAUAGUCAAAGAAUAAGGCUAAAGUAGGAUACCUGUUAGGAAUUUCCCAGAAGUGUUAAAAAAAAAGAGAGAGACCAGAUUACCAGUUUGCAAACACCAAAAAUAUACACUGUAAAUAAUUCUGCUAUUAUUUGAAAACAUAGCAAGAUAUCUUUAUAAACAUUAGUCAAAAUAUUUUGGAAAUGUAUGGGUACUGGCUAAAAGUAAUAUUAAGAUUGAAAAAGUACAGGUUGAAAUGACUAGAUUUUAAAAUUACACAUUUAUAAGGUUGAAAAUUUUGUAGCACCUGGCAUCUCAUUCAAUUUUUUCCUCCAACAUACACAUCCUACUAUAUAGGCCCUUGUACAGCCACCCACACUAAUCUCAGUUAACUAAAUCCAUUCUUCUGUCCCACAAUAAAAGAGCCAACACAAUAAUUUUAUUGCAAUUAUUCUCUCAAAUAAUUUCUACCUGAAUAAGGACCCAGUCAUAUCUGAAAACCCAUUUUUGAGUUUAUUUGGAAACAUUCCUUUUGGUAUUAUCUCUUUUAAUUAUGUCUGUUAUUUAUUAUUUUUAGUUUUUUGCAUAUUUAUUUAUAUACCACAAAAUAUUUAAAUUCCUUUGCUUUGUUAUUUAGUAAAAUAUAUUGAUCAUCUCCUUAUCCCAGAAAAAUCAAAUUAUGGAGGGAAGAUCUUUUAAGUGAUUUUUUUUUUUUUUUUGGUACCAGGGAUUGAACUUGGGAUAUUGCAUUUCUGAGGCAGACAGCACAACCACUGAGCUAAAUCCCC
ensembl:lncRNA